rnacentral:rRNA from 1 species
ACAUGCAAGUCUAGGGGCAGCAUGAACUUAGCUUGCUAAGUUUGAUGGCGACCGGCGCACGGGUGAGUAACACGUAUCCAACCUGCCGAUGACUCGGGGAUAGCCUUUCGAAAGAAAGAUUAAUACCCGAUGGCAUAGUUCUUCCGCAUGGUAGAACUAUUAAAGAAUUUCGGUCAUCGAUGGGGAUGCGUUCCAUUAGGUUGUUGGCGGGGUGACGGCCCACCAAGCCUUCGAUGGAUAGGGGUUCUGAGAGGAAGGUCCCCCACAUUGGAACUGAGACACGGUCCAAACUCCUACGGGAGGCAGCAGUGAGGAAUAUUGGUCAAUGGACGAGAGUCUGAACCAGCCAAGUAGCGUGAAGGAUGACUGCCCUAUGGGUUGUAAACUUCUUUUAUACGGGAAUAAAGUGAGGCACGUGUGCCUUUUUGUAUGUACCGUAUGAAUAAGGAUCGGCUAACUCCGUGCCAGCAGCCGCGGUAAUACGUAGGAUCCGAGCGUUAUCCGGAUUUAUUGGGUUUAAAGGGAGCGUAGGCGGACGCUUAAGUCAGUUGUGAAAGUUUGCGGCUCAACCGUAAAAUUGCAGUUGAUACUGGGUGUCUUGAGUACAGUAGAGGCAGGCGGAAUUCGUGGUGUAGCGGGGAAAAGCUUAGAUAU